GACACUUUCAAAAAUCGGCCAUCCAUUGACUUUUAAUCAGUAGGUCGUUGGUUCGAUCCCAACCGGGCUCACCA
rnacentral:tRNA from 1 species